rfam:Ictidomys tridecemlineatus contig015526, whole genome shotgun sequence.
GGGGGUGUGGCUCAGUGGUACAGUGCUUGCCUAGAACACAUGAAGCUCUGGGUUCAAUCCCCAGCAAACCUU